GGAUUGUGGCUUGGAGGUAGAGCGCUCGUCUCACAGGGGCGGGACCUGGGUUCGAUCCUCAGCACCA
rnacentral:tRNA from 1 species